GACGAACGCUGGCGGCGUGCUUAACACAUGCAAGUCGAGCGGUAAGGCCCUUUCGGGGGUACACGAGCGGCGGACGGGUGAGUAACACGUGGGUGACCUGCCCUCAGCUCUGGGAUAAGCCUGGGAAACCGGGUCUAAUACCGGAUAUGACUCCAUGACGCAUGUUGUGGGGUGGAAAGCCUUGUGCGGCUGAGGAUGGGCCCGCGGCCUAUCAGCUU
rnacentral:rRNA from 1 species